GGAAAGGCGCGCGAUACAGGGUGACAGCCCCGUACACAAAAAUGCACAUGCUGUGAGCUCGAUGAGUAGGGCGGGACACGUGGUAUCCUGUCUGAAUAUGGGGGGACCAUCCUCCAAGGCUAAAUACUCCUGACUGACCGAUAGUGAACCAGUACCGUGAGGGAAAGGCGAAAAGAACCCCGGCGAGGGGAGUGAAAAAGAACCUGAAACCGUGUACGUACAAGCAGUGGGAGCACGCUUAGGCGUGUGACUGCGUACCUUUUGUAUAAUGGGUCAGCGACUUAUAUUCUGUAGCAAGGUUAACCGAAUAGGGGAGCCGAAGGGAAACCGAGUCUUAACUGGGCGUUAAGUUGCAGGGUAUAGACCCGAAACCCGGUGAUCUAGCCAUGGGCAGGUUGAAGGUUGGGUAACACUAACUGGAGGACCGAACCGACUAAUGUUGAAAAAUUAGCGGAUGACUUGUGGCUGGGGGUGAAAGGCCAAUCAAACCGGGAGAUAGCUGGUUCUCCCCGAAAGCUAUUUAGGUAGCGCCUCGUGAAUUCAUCUCCGGGGGUAGAGCACUGUUUCGGCAAGGGGGUCAUCCCGACUUACCAACCCGAUGCAAACUGCGAAUACCGGAGAAUGUUAUCACGGGAGACACACGGCGGGUGCUAACGUCCGUCGUGAAGAGGGAAACAACCCAGACCGCCAGCUAAGGUCCCAAAGUCAUGGUUAAGUGGGAAACGAUGUGGGAAGGCCCAGACAGCCAGGAUGUUGGCUUAGAAGCAGCCAUCAUUUAAAGAAAGCGUAAUAGCUCACUGGUCGAGUCGGCCUGCGCGGAAGAUGUAACGGGGCUAAACCAUGCACCGAAGCUGCGGCAGCGACGCUGAUGCGUUGUUGGGUAGGGG
rnacentral:rRNA from 1 species